CUGAUCAGAAAAUUAAGAAAACUAGACAUAUUUGCCUGAAACUUGGCCGAUUGGGUUAAGUUUAGGCAUAAAAAGUCUGGAAAUUAAAAAAUUUAAACAAUUUCCUUGAAAUUUGGCCGAUUGGGAUAUAGUUUACGCAUAAAAUGUCUGGAAAAUAAUACUCUUAGCAUUUCUUUCUUCAAGUGUCUAAUUUAAGCUGUCUAAGAUUUUUGAUAAUUUGUGAAUUGCAUUAGAGAAAAGCGAUAAAGUUACAUUCGAAAAGAUAAACAAGAAGUAUUCCCUCCAAGUUGAUUCUUUAUGUUUUUUGCAUUCAUUAAUUAAUCAAGUUCAUCUUAAGUAUUUGCGCUGAAGCCUACUUAAACAAAACUGCAAAAUCGGAUAAAUUAGUACCUAUUCUGAAAAGCAGUUUGCUAAUUGAUUGUGUAUUUUUCUGUCAUACACCUUCAGUCGUUCUGCAUAAAAAAUCGUACACAUGAAUAGGAAGGAACCUUGACGUGGUUCAUGUGCUUUAAACAAAUACCUUCCAGACAGAUACAUUCUCACCCGUUGUACUGUGAGAGAUAAAUGGUUGACAUCGAGUACAUAAACCAUAUUAAGAAUAGCUAGUAUAGGUAUAAUUUUUUAUUAAAUUUUGCAUAUGUUUCAUGUAAAAGAUAAUGACCAGAAUCAAGUUUAUAUUUAUAAAAAAAAAUCCAAAAACAAUAAAAAAAACAAUAGUUUGGGAGGGAGCGAUUUUAAGUUAAUUUUUGCUUGAAUUUUAGACUUAUAUUGUCUUAACCAGUUUAGCAUUAAAAUUUUUUUUUGUUUUUGAAAAUGCGUUCUUAUUUUUUUAAAAGGCUGCAAACACCGAGUCUUAAUCACAAAAAAAAAUUCCAAAUAGUGCAAAUGGGGUGAAUACAUAGGGGGAGCCCCCCUGGUGUCAAAUAAAAACCUUUUGAAAAUAUAAAUCCGAGUUAGUAUAGAGUUGACAAAUAGUAAAUGGGGAAGGGAGGCUUAUUUGGUAUUAGAGAGUACCACUGUCUGGGAUGGAUUGUGUUAUAUCAAUCGUGGCUCAGUAGUUAGAGCAUUGGAUUCGUAAUCUAAGGGUUGCGAGUUCGAUCUCUACUCGAAGCACAUAAAGGUUAUCGGUAUAGUUGGAAACGGAGAGCCAAGUUACAAAUGUUAUUGUCUUUGUGGCGGUGCUCUGUGACAAGGCCAUUAGGACUUCUUAGAGCACCUUAAUAACAACAAAAAAAAAAUGGGGGUGGGGGGCGCUAAUAUUAAAAAAAAAUCGCCAAAGGAAAAAUAAAUCCUAGAUCC